rnacentral:rRNA from 1 species
GACGAAGGUGGCUAGCGUUGCUCGGAAUUACUGGGCAUAAAGCGCGCGUAGGUGGUCCUGUAAGCGGGGGAUGAAAGCCCAUGGCUCACCCAUGGAACUGUCCCCCGGACUGCAGGGCUCGAGGGCGGGAGGGGAGAAUGGAAUUCCCGGUGUAGCGGUGAAAUGCGUAGAUAUCGGGAGGAACGCCAGUGGCGAAAGCGAUUCUCUGGUCCGCCCCUGACACUGAGGCGCGAAAGCUAGGGGAGCAAACAGG